rnacentral:rRNA from 1 species
GGGUGAGUAAUAUAUCGGAACGUGCCCAGUCGUGGGGGAUAACGUAGCGAAAGCUACGCUAAUACCGCAUACGAUCUACGGAUGAAAGCGGGGGAUCGCAAGACCUCGCGCGAUUGGAGCGGCCGAUAUCAGAUUAGGUUGUUGGUGAGGUAAAAGCUCACCAAGCCUGCGAUCUGUAGCUGGUCUGAGAGGACGACCAGCCACACUGGAACUGAGACACGGUCCAGACUCCUACGGGAGGCAGCAGUGGGGAAUUUUGGACAAUGGACGCAAGUCUGAUCCAGCAAUGCCGCGUGCAGGACGAAGGCCUUCGGGUUGUAAACUGCUUUUGUACGGAACGAAACGGUCUGCUUUAAUACAGUGGGCUAAUGACGGUACCGUAAGAAUAAGCACCGGCUAACUACGUGCCAGCAGCCGCGGUAAUACGUAGGGUGCGAGCGUUAAUCGGAAUUACUGGGCGUAAAGCGUGCGCAGGCGGUUAUAUAAGACAGAUGUGAAAUCCCCGGGCUCAACCUGGGACCUGCAUUUGUGACUGUAUAGCUAGAGUACGGUAGAGGGG